CGCACGCACCCGGAUUUUCUGUAUUUUUUUCUUCGUGACAGACGUGGUUGAUGGCUGGAAAGGACAUUUUCCCUUCGUUAAAGGUUCUCACUGAAGGGGAUAAUUCUCACUGAAACUACAGAAUAAAGCCGCCAGUUAAAAUCAUGGAACGGUUGUGCUCGUGGUUACUGAAGGGAGCUACAAGACCAUUAUUCGUUUCAAUUCACCAACUCAAAGACGCUUGCCCGCUCCAUCAUAACUCCGUAAGUUUUCCUCCCUGUGUAGAUCAAACGUCCUGCCUGUAAAUCCUGGGUAUGCCCACAUCAUUAAUGAAUAAGAUGUGUAGAAAACUGUUUAGCCAUAGUUAAAGGCCUUUCAUAAAGAGCCUGUCAUGAUUGCAUGUCCCUUAUGUUUAACACGUAUUGCUUGUUACAGAAUACUACUGUUGUACAUUUAAUAUCCCCUAGCAGAUUUCGUUGCCUUUGCACAAAUUCUGUCAUGUUACUGUGGUCUUUUUAAAAGUCAAUAAAAAUGUGUGUAAAGUGGC